UACGAGUGGUGCAAGCAUUAUUCGGAAUCAUUGGGCGUAAAGGGUGCGUAGGUGGCAUAUUAAGUCUACUGUUAAAUAUCUCGGCCUAACCGAGAGACUGCGGUGGAGACUGUAAGCUAGAGGAUGGGAGAGAGAAGUGGAAUUCUCGGAGUAGCGGUAAAAUGCGUAGAUCUCGAGAGGAACACCGAUGGCGAAAGCAGCUUCUUGGA
rnacentral:rRNA from 1 species